GACGAACGCUGGCGGCGUGCUUAACACAUGCAAGUCGAACGGAAAGGCCCUGCUUUUGUGGGGUGCUCGAGUGGCGAACGGGUGAGUAUCACGUGAGUAACCUGCCCUUGACUUUGGGAUAACUUCAGGAAACUGGGGCUAAUACCGGAUAGGAGCUCCUGCUGCAUGGUGGGGGUUGGAAAGUUUCGGCGGUUGGGGAUGGACUCGCGGCUUAUCAGCUUGUUGGUGGGGUAGUGGCUUACCAAGGCUUUGACGGGUAGCCGGCCUGAGAGGGUGACCGGCCACAUUGGGACUGAGAUACGGCCCAGACUCCUACGGGAGGCAGCAGUGGGGAAUAUUGCACAAUGGGCGGAAGCCUGAUGCAGCAACGCCGCGUGCGGGAUGACGGCCUUCGGGUUGUAAACCGCUUUCGCCUGUGACGAAGCGUGAGUGACGGUAAUGUGUAAAGAAGCACCGGCUAACUACGUG
rnacentral:rRNA from 1 species